CCUACGGGAGGCAGCAGUGAGGAAUAUUGGUCAAUGGACGAGAGUCUGAACCAGCCAAGUAGCGUGAAGGAUGACUGCCCUAUGGGUUGUAAACUUCUUUUAUAUGGGAAUAAAAUGUUCCACGUGUGGGAUUUUGUAUGUACCAUAUGAAUAAGGAUCGGCUAACUCCGUGCCAGCAGCCGCGGUAAUACGGAGGAUACGAGCGUUAUCCGGAUUUAUUGGGUUUAAAGGGAGCGUAGGUGGAUUGUUAAGUCAGUUGUGAAAGUUUGCGGCUCAACCGUAAAAUUGCAGUUGAAACUGGCAGUCUUGAGUACAGUAGAGGUGGGCGGAAUUCGUGGUGUAGCGGUGAAAUGCUUAGAUAUCACGAAGAACUCCGAUUGCGAAGGCAGUUCACUGGACUGCAACUGACACUGAGGCUCGAAAGUGUGGGUAUCAAACAGGAUUAGAUACUCCAGUAGUC
rnacentral:rRNA from 1 species